GAUGAUUCUGUCUAAGCAGCAUAUAAUCUAGGUAUAUAAAUUGGCUGACCAAGAAUCUGAGCUUUAAACUUCUGCUAUGGCUGCUGCGCCUCGGGAGUCGGGAUCCCGUCUAUAAUCUCCAUCGGAUACCUGCUAAUGCAAUCCAUCCACGGGCUGUUGGCAGAGGGUUUCACAUUGCGGAGAGCCUGCCAGACCACACUAUUGCACUUGAAUCCGCUCCCAAAGGCGAUCUGCCAGACGCGGUGGCCUUUCCGCAUCCUUCCUUUUGCUUCAAUAUAGGCAAGCUCGUACCAGAUGGAGCUCGAUGAUGUGUUGCCGAAUCGAUGGAGGGUCAUCCGUGAUGCCUCGACAUGGACCGGGAGGAGCUGGAGGUUCUUCUCAAGCUCGUCGAUGACCGCCCGCCCACCGGCAUGAAUGCAGAAGUGCUCGAACGCAAGCUUGAAGUCAGGAAUGUAUGGCUUGACCUUGGAGUUGAAGAGCUUCUUCGCGACCAGAGCCGCAAAGAAGAUGAGUUGCUCACUAAGCGGGAGGACUAGAGGGCCGAGGGUGGUGAUGUUCGCCUUGAGCGACCCGCCAGCUAUCGCCAUGAGGUCCUUGGAAAGCGAGACACCGACUUUGCCAGCAUCAUCCUGCUCCUGGUAGACGCAUCGGAAGGAUCGAUCAUCCGCCCCACGGUGCGUGCGCACGACAUGGACGAGGCGGUAUUUCGAGCGACGGCGGUCGGAGGAGCGAUUCGACAAGAGGACCGCCGAUCCACCAACACGGAAAAGGCAAUUGGGGAUCAGCAUUGACUUGCGGUUACCGAAGUACCAAUUCUGUGUGAUGUUCUCAGUGGAGACUACGACGGCAUAAGUGGCCCGAUGCACUUGGAGGAGGUCUCGGGCCAAGUCGACGGCGAUAACCCCAGCGCUGCACCCCAUCCCCCCAAGGUUG
rnacentral:misc_RNA from 1 species